UACCGGCGACCGGCGGACGGGUGCGUAACGCGUAUGUAACCUACCUUUGACAGGGGGAUAACAUCGAGAAAUUGGUACUAAUACCCCAUAACAUCACCGGAGGCAUCUUCGGUGGUUGAAAACUCAGGUGGUCAGAGAUGGACAUGCGUUGUAUUAGCUAGUUGGUGAGGUAACGGCUCACCAAGGCGACGAUACAUAGGGGGACUGAGAGGUCAACCCCCCACAUUGGUACUGAGACACGGACCAAACUCCUACGGAAGGCAGCAG
rnacentral:rRNA from 1 species